GAUGAAGAACGCAGCGAAAUGCGAUAAGUAGUGUGAAUUGCAGAAUUCAGUGAAUCAUCGAAUCUUUGAACGCACAUUGCGCCUCCUGGUAUUCCGGGAGGCAUGCCUGUUCGAGCGUCAUUAAAAUCACUCAAGCUUAGGUUUACCUAUUGCUUGGUCUUGGAGAUGGAAGCCAAUUUAUUGGAAACCUCUUCGAAAUUCAAUGGCGAAGACCCUUGCUCUCCCAAGUGUAGUAAUAACUUAUGUCACUGAAGGAAGCGAGAAAUCUUCUGCCGUAACCCCCAUAUUUUCUAUGAUUGACCUCGGAUCAGGUAGGGAUACCCGCUGAACUUAAGCAUAUCAAUAAGCGGAGGA
rnacentral:misc_RNA from 1 species